GAUUAACGCUGGCGGCAUGCUUAAUACAUGCAAAUCGAACGAAGCCUUUUGGCUUAGUGGUGAACGGGAGAGUAACACGUAUCCAAUCUACCCUUAAGUUUGGGAUAACUAGCCGAAAGAUUAGCUAAUACCGGAUAAUAACAUUCACUUGCAUGAGUGAAUGUGGAAAGUUGCGUUUGCAGCGCUUCUGGAUGAGGGUGCGACGUAUCAGAUAGUUGGUGAGGUAACGGCUCACCAAGUCAUUGACGCGUAGCUGUACUGAGAGGUAGAACAGCCACAACGGGACUGAGACACGGCCCAU
rnacentral:rRNA from 1 species